UACGAAGGGGGCUAGCGUUGCUCGGAAUUACUGGGCGUAAAGGGCGCGUAGGCGGAUACUUAAGUCGGGGGUGAAAGCCCGGGGCUCAACCUCGGAAUUGCCUUCGAUACUGGGUAUCUUGAGUUCGGGAGAGGUGAGUGGAAUGCCGAGUGUAGAGGUGAAAUUCGUAGAUAUUAGGAAGAACACCAGUGGCGAAGGCGGCUCACUGGUCCGGUACUGACGCUGAGGUGCGAAAGCGUGGGGAGCAAACAGG
rnacentral:rRNA from 1 species